rnacentral:misc_RNA from 1 species
AAGUCGUAACAAGGUAACCGUAGGUGAACCUGCGGUUGGAUCAUUAAAAAAAAUUGAAGCUUCAACCCUUUCAAGGGUAGAAGCGUCAGUGCUCCUCUAACAAGGAGCUUGACUACUCCAAUUUUGUGAACUUGCAACCAAAAAAUGUUUUGAUAGUGGUGAAAGAUUUGGGCAUUACCAGCCCAAGUUUUUCCCUUCUUGAAAAAAUUGUUAACCCUGAAGAAAUAACUUGUCUUUACCGUUUUUUAUAAAUAAAAAUUAAACAACUUUUGACAACGGAUCUCUAGGCUCUC